AGCAGGACCGCGGCUGGGCGGGAGCAUGAGGCUUGUUGGUGUGUCGCAGAGCUGGGGAGCCAGAGGGGGCGCUGGCAUUGGGAGCUCCUGGGAGGGGCACCCCACUCUCAAGAUGGGGCCUCUGGGUCUAGUCCCAGACCCUGGACAGAGUCAGCUGCAGGGCUGUGUUGAGAGGAGUCUGAGGGAAGCAGGGCCUGCAGGGCAUGGUGCGCGGGGUGGUUGGGGCUGCUGCAGACAGGGACUGUGUCCACAUAAAAACACCGUGAGGAGCACCGCAGUGCACGCCAGCAUCCUGUUUCAGGGCAGUGGGUGAGCCUCUCUGGGACCUGAAGGCUGGCUUCCGCAGGGACCUUGCCCCAUGGCAAGGAAGACAGGACUUCUGAGGUGGGCCCUGGGGUCCCCACCAAGGAGGGGCUGCUUGGCCAUCUCCCCGACCACUGCAGCAUUGGCUCGUGUGGGAGCCAAGCCAGACAGAGAGGCUGAGAGGGCCAGACUUGCAGCCAGUCCUGCUGGGCCUGGAGCCCACUUGCCACGGGCUUGAGUUGUUCUGUGGGAGAUGCCGGUGGGCGGCUGGUGGCGGUCCUCCCUGCCCAGCCUGCCCGCCCCAUCCUCUGACUCAGGAGAAAUGGAUUGUGUGGAUUGGGGAUCCUUUUUCUCCUGAUGGUCCCAAAUUCUCUCUCCAUCCCAAAUUUUGUUUUUAAGCAUUUUGGCCAUUUUUCUUUUCAUGUGGAAUGUCCACAAGUAUCACCGACAGAUAACCAAGGGGCUGGGCCUGCACCCUGUGCAGCCUCCCCACUUGGAGGACCUCAACCGCCAGUGGGGGAGGGGCCCCUCAGUCCUGCUUUGUUCAUGGGGAAACUGAGGCAACUUGCUCAAGGCCACACUGCCAGUGGCAGAGUCAGUGGGAUCUCUGUCUCGCUGAUUAUGGGACUGGACCAAGUGUGAGGUCCUGGAAAGCUGGCCUCACUUGGCAGUGGCACUGGGGCAGGAGAGUUGGCUGAGGAAGGCAGGGCCCCUGGGCAUGCUUGGGCCCCCAGAUCUGCCCUUGACGCAUCCACCUCUGUCACCAAGUCUGUGUUUCCAGAGUCAAAGUCCCAGGGCUGCAUGAGCCCAUCUUAUAAAGAGGGGGCUAUGGGCAGCCAGUUAGGGCUGGAUUGAUUGAAAGCAACUCUUCAUAAACCAAAGGAUGGCAUGUUUUCCUUCUCAAAUCACAACUUUGUGCAGUGGUGUGUUCGCAGACAGCCCUAAGAGCUGUCUCUCAUGGAGCAGAGGGCAUGAGUCUGGGGGCAUCCCCAGCUCUUUGGGGCCCAGAGUUCCUGCUCCUCGGUAACUGGUUUCUGUGGGUGUGCAAGCCUCAGCUCCUGCAGACAGGCCCCUGGCCUCUCUGUGGAGGGACCCUGACCUGAGGCCUCUUUGCUAGAAGGAGAAACCUGGCUGCAAGAAGGCACUGUUGUGGGCUCUGCACCUCUUCUGGGAAGAGGGCUGGCUAGUGAUGCCUCUGUGACUGGUUGCUGCUCACGUCCUGGGCAGGCACCCUGGAUGCCUGGGCCCAUAAGGUCCAGGCAAGGCCUCAGGCUAGACCACUGUCUGGUGCUGGCAUGUGCCCACACGCCCUGCCAGUGCCUUCUCACCUGAUGCAGGAGGUUCCUCUCCCUGAGCCUCCCACUGGAGUGGAGGUCAGUUUUUGAUGGUCGAUUUGCUGUGUUUUAAGUAUAUGCUGUUGGAAAAAAACAACUGAAGAAAAUGGAGGGAAAUAUGUUAGUUCUUGUGUAUGGCUUGCCCAGUAUUUACUGCUGGGGCAAGAAGAGGGUUUGAAACAAUAAUGGGAAGUUAAAAUAUUAUUUUCCAUGCACACUGGUUAGACCUGGCUCCCUGAUUCACCGGCCCUGCAUGGAUGGACGCGCAGCUUUCAGCCAAACGGGGCUUGGACCACGAGGUCCAGAUGGCACUGGCGGGUGGCUGGCUUCUGUGUUGGCUCUGUGGGGCUCACAGUGGGUGUCCUGGCCUCCAUCCUCCCAUCCCUGCAGGAGAUCUAAUGCUUUGUGAGGGCCUGAGACCUUCUGGCUGGGCCAGGCAGGGGGGCCUGGGCACCUGAGAGCCUGCUGUGGCGGGUGGAAGUCAGCUCUGGGUCUCGCUGGGUCCCUGCUGGGGCAGAGUGUCUGUCCCUGCUCAGACAGCAUCAGGGAUGGUACAGCUGCCAAGCUCUGUGUGCGCCUGGCCAGUCUGGGCAGCCCUUUGCCCACAAAGCAUGGACAGGGCAGGCCACAGCACUGGGAGGGCCAGCACUGGGGCAGGGGCACUGGCAUCAGCUCCUGAUCUGCAGGUGGUCUGACCCGGCUUGGUUUCCCAUUGUUUGCAGCUUGGAAUCGUCAAUCCUGAUUGGCUGGCCUGAAGCCCCAGAGCUGGAGCUCACUGUGCCUCAGGCUAGGUGGGGAGUGGUGGCGGAGGGGGCUGCCCAGAGAGUACCGUGUUGCCUCCUGGGGCUCGGGGCAGAGUCCCUGGCCUGGAGCCCAGCACUGCCCACUACUGGACAGAGUUGUCCCAGCAUGCCUCCGUGGCCCUGGGUACUUGCACCCCCUCCACCUUUGGCCUCAGUCUUGGCGACCUCUCAUUACUGAGCAGGUUUAUGACCCCCUUCUUGUCUUAUUGGUCUUGAUAAACAAACUUCAGGGCUUCUUGGAAGUGGGGGCAGCCGCAGGAAGGGGUGGGCAACAGAAUGAUGCAGACCCAGUGGCCGGCGUGGGUCAGUGACUUCAGCGGGCCCAGCCCUGGGGGCAUAUCAGGCAAGCAGGAGAGAGAGAGCCUGGGUGCCAGAUCAUAGGUGGGACUCCUGUGGCCUCCUUCCACACUGCCUGGAUCUGGCGGGGAGGAAGGCUAGGCAGGGCUGUGGGUAUGGGUGCUGGUGCAGGUGUGGGCAUGGGCCUGGUGUGGGUGCAUCCUGAUCCACAUGUGGGUGUGGGCCCCGUGUGGGUAUGUGCUGACCCAGGUGUGGGCAUGGGCCCAGUGUGGGUGUGUGCUGACCCAGGUGUGGGCGUGGGCCCGGUGUGGGUGUGUGCUGACCCAGGUGUGGGCGUGGGCCCGGUGUGGGUGUGUGCUGUUCCAGGUAUGGGCGUGUUCUGAUCCAGGUGUGGGCGUGGGCCUGGUGUGGGUGUGUGCUGACCCAUGUGUGGGUGUGUGCUGUUCCAGGUGUGGGUGUGUGCUUUUCCAGGUGUGGGCAUGUGCUGUUCAAGGUGUAGGCGUGUACUGACCCAUGUGUGGGCGUGGGCCCGAUGUGGGUGUGUGCUGACCCAUGUGUGGGUGUGUUCUGUUCCAGGUAUGGGCAUGUACUGAUCCAGGUGUGGGCGUGGGCCUGGUGUGGGUGUGUGCUGACCCAUGUGUGGGUGUGUGCUGUUCCAGGUCUGGGCGUGUACUGAUCCAGGUGUGGGUGUGGGCCCGGUGUGGGUGUGUGCUGACCCAUGUGUGGGUGUGUGCUGUUCCAGGUAUGGGCGUGUACUGAUCCAGGUGUGGGCAUGGGCCCUGUGUGGGUGUGUGCUGUUCCAGGUGUGGGUGUGAGCUGUUCAGGUGUGGGCAUGGGCCUGGUGUGGGUGUGUGCUGACCCAUGUGUGGGUGUGUGCUGUUCCAGGUGUGGGUGUGUGCUUUUCCAGGUGUGGGCAUGUGCUGUUCAAGGUGUAGGUGUGUACUGACCCAUGUGUGGGCGUGGGCCCGGUGUGGGUGUGUGCUGUUCCAGUUGUGGGUGUGUGCUGAUCCAGGUGUGGGUGCUGGUCCAGGUGUGGGUGCUAGUGCAGUCAUGGAGAGAAGAGGCAGGUCAUCUGGGGAAGCAUGUGUGGGAGAGAGAGGGCUGUGCUGCCUGCCCCAUGUCAGGGUGCUGGAUGGGAGAGCACCCUGGGGGUGUGCAGUUGGGCUGCGGGCGCACAGAGCCAGCUGGAGUGAUGAAGAGAGGGAGGCGUGUGUGCGGCCCGGAGGCCUCUGGUCUGCCUGAUGGCUUUAGUGGGAGAGACCGGCCGUAAUCACAGACAGGAGCAGGGGCACGUCCAUCUGCAGCCCUCUUCAGGCCCUUCUUCUUCCCACUCCCUUCUCUGUUACUUCUCAGUGUCCCUCUGUCCCAAGGUCUCCAGGCCUCCUUCCAGAGAGGGUAAUGGGAGGGGCUGGCUGACCAUUUCCUUGGGGAAGUAAUCACCCAACACUAUCAUUCACCCCAUGCCCUCUGCUGGCCACUGGGUGGGAGGAUGUGGGUGUCGUGGACUGUGGGCCAUGGACUGUGGGCAGUGAGCUGUAGGCUGUGAGCCAUGGGUGGUGGGCUAUAGGCCAUGAGCCAGGGGCUAUGGCUGUGGGCUGGGAUCCAUGGGAUGUGGGCCCUGGGCUGUGGGCUGCAGGUGUGGACUGUGGGCUGUGAGCAUUGGCCAUGAGCUGUGGGCAGUGAGCUGUGGAUCACGGCUUGUGGGCUGUGCGCUGAGUGCCUGUUUCUCCGC